CUUAUACUCCCUCCGUUCCAAAAUAAGUGUCGCUGAUCUAGUACAAUUUUUUUACUAAUUUAGUACUAAAUCUUAGUACUAAAUCUGCGAAAAUCUGCGACACUUAUUUUGGGACGGAGGGAGUACUAA
rfam:Hordeum vulgare subsp. vulgare, WGS project CAJW01000000 data, contig: morex_contig_43768